UACAGAGGUCCCGAGCGUUGUUCGGAUUCAUUGGGCGUAAAAGGUGCGUAGGCGGUCUUCUAAGUUUGAUGUGAAAUCCCGGGGCUCAACCCUGGAAUUGCAUUGAAUACUGGAGGACUAGAGUACUGGAGAGGAAACUGGAAUUUACGGUGUAGCAGUGAAAUGCGUAGAGAUCGUAAGGAAGACCAGUGGCGAAGGCGAGUUUCUGGACAGUAACUGACGCUGAGGCACGAAGGCCAGGGGAGCAAACGGG
rnacentral:rRNA from 1 species